UUCAGUCUGCAGGCCGACGCUCUAUCCACUGAGCCAAACCGGUCAUGGCAAGAGCAGCCCCUUUAAAUGGAGGCACUGCAGUGCUCCGCCCCACCUGAAGGUGGCCCUACCUCCUCCUGGUGUCCAGCUGGGUCCUCCACAUACACCAGCACCUCUCCCUGGCCGGCACUUCUGG